rnacentral:ncRNA from 1 species
AACUCGGCGAUGAGGAAGAAGAGUAGACAUCACAGGAGACUUAAGAGAGCUGAUGGUUGGUGCGAAUCAGUGUCAAAUGGAUGUUGAAUGGGCUUCCGAGCUCCAGACCGAACCCGGGCUUACCGGCAGUAGGCUCUGGCGUGAAUAGUCCACACGUUACAACGGGCACCGUAUCACUGGUACGGGUAAAGAGAUUCCACGCAAGCACGGUCUGUGUUUGCCCGGAAUAACAAGGGUGGCACCACGGUUCAUUCGUCCCUAUU